AUUGAACGCUGGCGGCAGGCCUAACACAUGCAAGUCGAGCGGAUGAAGGGAGCUUGCUCCUGGAUUCAGCGGCGGACGGGUGAGUAAUGCCUAGGAAUCUGCCUGGUAGUGGGGGAUAACGUCCGGAAACGGGCGCUAAUACCGCAUACGUCCUGAGGGAGAAAGUGGGGGAUCUUCGGACCUCACGCUAUCAGAUGAGCCUAGGUCGGAUUAGCUAGUUGGUGGGGUAAAGGCCUACCAAGGCGACGAUCCGUAACUGGUCUGAGAGGAUGAUCAGUCACACUGGAACUGAGACACGGUCCAGACACCUACGGGAGGCAGCAGUGGGGAAUAUUGGACGAUGGGCGAGAGCCUGAUCCAGCCAUGCCGCGUGUGUGAAGAAGGUCUUCGGAUUGUAAAGCACUUUAAGUUGGGAGGAAGGGCAGUAAGUUAAUACCUUGCUGUUUUGACGUUACCAACAGAAUAAGCACCGGCUAACUUCGUG
rnacentral:rRNA from 1 species